CCUACGGGGGGCUGCAGUGGGGAAUAUUGGGCAAUGGAGGCAACUCUGACCCAGCAACGCCGCGUGAGCGAUGACGGUCCUCGGAUUGUAAAGCUCUGUCGCAGGGGACGCAGUAUGACGGUACCCUGUAAGAAAGCCCCGGCAAACUACGGGCCAGCAGCCGCGGUAAUACGUGGGGGGCUAGUGUUGUCCGGAAUUACUGGGCGUAAAGGGAGUGUAGACGGUUUGUCAAGUUAAGUGGGAAAGCCUGCGGUUUAACCGCAGAAUUGCACUUGAAACUGAUUCGCUCGAGUGCAGGAGAGGUGAGUGGAAUUCCUGGUGUAGCGGUGGAAUGCGUAGAUAUUAGGAGGAACACCGGAGGCGAAGGCGGCUCACUGGACUGUAACUGACGUUGAGGCUCGAAAGCGUGGGGAGCAAACAGGAUUAGAUACCCCGGUAGUC
rnacentral:rRNA from 1 species